CUUCUCUGGUUUCUCUUCAGAACGUAUAAAUCUUUCGCCUUUUACUAAAGAUUUCCGUGGAGAGGAACAUUUAUGAGUUUUGUAGUUAUUAAAAAGAUUUUUCUAUCCCGGAGUUC